CCUACGGGAGGCAGCAGUGAGGAAUAUUGGUCAAUGGGCGGGAGCCUGAACCAGCCAAGUCGCGUGAGGGAAGACGGUCCUAUGGAUUGUAAACUUCUUUAGGCGGGGAGCAAAGCCGGGCACGAGUGCCCGGCGGGAGAGUACCCGCAGAAUAAGCAUCGGCUAACUCCGUGCCAGCAGCCUCGGUAAUACGGAGGAUGCGAGCGUUAUCGGGAUUCAUUGGGUUAAAGGGGUGCGUAGGCGGAUUUUUAAGUCAGCGGUAAAAUGUCCGGGCUAAACCCGGGCCGGCCGUUGAAACUGGGGGUCUUGAGUGGACGAGAGGUAUGCGGAAUGCGUGGUGUAGCGGUGAAAUGCUUAGAUAUCACGCAGAACUCCGAUUGCGAAGGCAGCUUACUAAACUGCCACUGACAUUGAUGCUCGAAAGUGUGGGUAUCAAACAGGAUUAGAUACCCCGGUAGUC
rnacentral:rRNA from 1 species